CAGAAUAAGAGAUCCAGUCAUCCACUCAGUUCCAAUUUCAAAGGUAUAACAGAGAUAGAUAGAUAGAUAACAAAGUACUAACAGCACCUCGAGCAUUCGGUGUAAAAACACACAAAUCUUGAUUAAAGCAGUUUCAUCCAACGGAUAACUUGAUGCCUAUGUAUGUGUAUCUGAAACACCAGGAGGCACUAGAUACCAAGUAUCGUAGGUAGGUAGAUAGGCAAGCACGUGGAGCUGCUUACUUGCCGCCCCCAAUUUCCUUCACGGCACAGAUCUGUUCUUC
rnacentral:lncRNA from 1 species